rnacentral:rRNA from 1 species
CCUACGGGGGGCAGCAGUAGGGAAUAUUGCUCAAUGGGGGAAACCCUGAAGCAGCAAAGCCGCGUGGAGGAUGAAGGUUUUAGGAUUGUAAACUCCUUUUGUUAGAGAAGCUUAUGACGGUAUCUAACGCAUAAGCACCGGCUAACUCCGUGGCAGCAGCCGCGGUAAUACGGAGGAUGCGAGCGUUAUCCGGAUUUAUUGGGUUGAAGGUGUGCGCAGGCGGAGGUUGAAGUCAGCGGUCAUAUUGCGGGGCUCAACCCCGUACUGCCGUUGAAACGGCAUCCCUUGAGUGCGCGAGAAGUAUGCGGAAUGCGUGGUGUAGCGGUGAAAUGCAUAGAUAUCACGCAGAACUCCGAUUGCGAAGGCAGCAUACCGGCGCGCAACUGACGCUCAUGCACGAAAGCGUGGGUAUCGAACAGGAUUAGAUACCCCGGUAGUC